rnacentral:other from 1 species
UAAUGCCUGCGGUAUGCGUGAUGACUGUUUGUUUAUGAACUGAUGACCUACCGGGAGUCGUGUCGGCCGUGGCGGACAAGCCUGGCCUACCAGGAAGUGUGAAGCGGAAGCGGCAGACACCCACUUGAACGAAAGUUCAGCAAUUACGAUGGUCACACGGUACCGCGGGCUUUAU